rnacentral:rRNA from 1 species
UGUGUGUUAGUGGAAGCGUCUGGAAAGGCGCGCGAUACAGGGUGACAGCCCCGUACACAAAAAUGCACAUGCUGUGAGCUCGAUGAGUAGGGCGGGACACGUGGUAUCCUGUCUGAAUAUGGGGGGACCAUCCUCCAAGGCUAAAUACUCCUGACUGACCGAUAGUGAACCAGUACCGUGAGGGAAAGGCGAAAAGAACCCCGGCGAGGGGAGUGAAAAAGAACCUGAAACCGUGUACGUACAAGCAGUGGGAGCACAGAGCAAUCUGUGUGACUGCGUACCUUUUGUAUAAUGGGUCAGCGACUUAUAUUCUGUAGCAAGGUUAACCGAAUAGGGGAGCCGAAGGGAAACCGAGUCUUAACUGGGCGUUAAGUUGCAGGGUAUAGACCCGAAACCCGGUGAUCUAGCCAUGGGCAGGUUGAAGGUUGGGUAACACUAACUGGAGGACCGAACCGACUAAUGUUGAAAAAUUAGCGGAUGACUUGUGGCUGGGGGUGAAAGGCCAAUCAAACCGGGAGAUAGCUGGUUCUCCCCGAAAGCUAUUUAGGUAGCGCCUCGUGAAUUCAUCUCCGGGGGUAGAGCACUGUUUCGGCAAGGGGGUCAUCCCGACUUACCAACCCGAUGCAAACUGCGAAUACCGGAGAAUGUUAUCACGGGAGACACACGGCGGGUGCUAACGUCCGUCGUGAAGAGGGAAACAACCCAGACCGCCAGCUAAGGUCCCAAAGUCAUGGUUAAGUGGGAAACGAUGUGGGAAGGCCCAGACAGCCAGGAUGUUGGCUUAGAAGCAGCCAUCAUUUAAAGAAAGCGUAAUAGCUCACUGGUCGAGUCGGCCUGCGCGGAAGAUGUAACGGGGCUAAACCAUGCACCGAAGCUGCGGCAGCGACGCUGAUGCGUUGUUGGGUA